CCCCGUCAGCAGCCGGCUGCUGAGAGGCCGGUAGGCGGCGGCGGUCCCGAGGGGCGGCGGCCGCGCUGCUCCCUGAGAACGGGUCCCGCAGCUGGGCAGGCGGGCGGCCUGAGGGCGCGGAGCCAUGAAGCUGUACAGCCUCAGCGUCCUCUACAAAGGCGAGGCCAAGGUGGUGCUGCUCAAAGCCGCAUACGAUGUGUCUUCCUUCAGCUUUUUCCAGAGAUCCAGCGUUCAGGAAUUCAUGACCUUCACGAGUCAACUGAUUGUGGAGCGCUCAUCGAAAGGCACUAGAGCUUCUGUCAAAGAACAAGACUAUCUGUGCCAUGUCUACGUCCGGAAUGAUAGUCUUGCAGGUGUGGUCAUUGCUGACAAUGAAUACCCAUCCCGGGUGGCCUUUACCUUGCUGGAGAAGGUACUAGAUGAAUUCUCCAAGCAAGUCGACAGGAUAGACUGGCCAGUAGGAUCCCCUGCUACAAUCCAUUACCCAGCCCUGGAUGGUCACCUCAGUAGAUACCAGAACCCACGAGAAGCUGAUCCCAUGACUAAAGUGCAGGCCGAACUAGAUGAGACCAAAAUCAUUCUGCACAACACCAUGGAGUCUCUGUUAGAGCGAGGUGAGAAGCUAGAUGACUUGGUGUCCAAAUCCGAGGUGCUGGGAACACAGUCUAAAGCCUUCUAUAAAACUAAAAUAUUUAAUUGACAAGGAUGGGUGCUGCUGACUGCUGCUUUCUCUCAGGCCCGGAAACAAAACUCAUGCUGUGCCAUCAUGUGAUGCAGCCUGCCAGAGGCCCAGUGCUGGAAUGGCACCAUCAUUCACAUCAGAACUGCAGCCCCUGGAAAAGAAGAGACAGCCAUAGACGAGGAGCCAGAGUGGGGGCAGACUGGCCAUUUUUAUUUUGAAGUUCCUGGGAGAAAUGGAUGGUGGAAGGGUGGCGAAUGUUCAAAUUCAUAUGUGUGGUAGUGAUUCUUGGAAAGAAUUUGAGGUCCCCAAAGGUGUAUUUUUGGGCAAAUGAAACCAUAAAUUCCGACUGGCUUCUGUAGAUGCCAAAGGGCUCUUUUUCAGCUAACCCUGGGAAGGCUCUGUG
rnacentral:sRNA from 1 species